UCCUCAAUAGCUCAGUCGGUAGAGCAUGCGGCUGUUAACCGCAGGGUCGUUGGUUCAAGUCCAACUUGGGGAG
rnacentral:tRNA from 1 species